rnacentral:lncRNA from 1 species
GGUAUGAGUCUUCUAAAGAGUUUUACCGGAAGAUGAGAGAGAAGCUUUUAUUUCAUUGACUUAGUCACAGAGGUGAGAAACAGCAGAAGCUUAUUAGUCUGAGUCAUAAUUACCUCCUAGAUAAAGUUCAGGAGUAAAAAAAAAAAAAAAACAACUCCCUAAAUAUCUGUUGUUUCAGUAAUCUUAUCAUCAGAUGAAGAACAUAUCACUAGACUAUCUUAGAUAAAGUCUUAUAACUUACACAAACGUGACAAGAAAUACUUGAUAAACAGAUGAGUUGGUUCCUAAUUUUUCAAGAUUUUUUUUUUUAAUUCACAUUACAGAUUAAAGUCAUGGAUGACCUUGGGAUA